rfam:Basidiobolus meristosporus CBS 931.73 K493scaffold_8, whole genome shotgun sequence.
UUUUCGUGAUGAAAGAGAAGUUUUGCCAGUUCUGCUACUGAACAACAUUGCUGAUACUUACUUUACUCUCGCUUACCUUCUGACAA